rnacentral:rRNA from 1 species
UACGGGGGGGGCCAGCGUUGUUCGGAAUUACUGGGCGUAAAGGGCGCGUAGGCGGCCACCGCAAGUCGACUGUGAAAUCUCCGGGCUUAACCCGGAAAGGUCAGCCGAUACUGCGGGGCUAGAGUGCAGAAGGGGCAACUGGAAUUCUCGGUGUAGCGGUGAAAUGCGUAGAUAUCGAGAGGAACACCUGCGGCGAAGGCGGGUUGCUGGGCUGACACUGACGCUGAUGCGCGAAAGCUAGGGGAGCGAACGGG